UACAGAGGUCUCAAGCGUUGUUCGGAUUCAUUGGGCGUAAAGGGUGCGUAGGCGGCGCGGUAAGUCGGGUGUGAAAUCUCGGAGCUUAACUCCGAAACUGCAUUCGAUACUGCCGUGCUUGAGGACUGGAGAGGAGACUGGAAUUUACGGUGUAGCAGUGAAAUGCGUAGAGAUCAUGAGGAAGACCAGUGGCGAAGGCGGGUCUCUGGACAGUUCCUGACGCUGAGGCGCGAAGGCCAGGGGAGCAAACGGG
rnacentral:rRNA from 1 species